rnacentral:rRNA from 1 species
AGUCUGGGAUUCCUGAAUGGGGAAACCCACUUACAUAAGUAAGUAUCCUGUUGUGAAUACAUAGCAACAGGAGGCAAACCGGGGGAACUGAAACAUCUAAGUACCCCGAGGAAGAGAAAUCAACCGAGAUUCCGAAAGUAGCGGCGAGCGAAAUUGGAUUAGCCCUUAAGCUUUUAAUGAGACAGAUGAAGGCUCUGGAAAGUGCCGCAAUAAAGGGUGAUAGCCCCGUAAUCGACAUCUCAUCAUCAGUGAAAACGAGUAGGGCGGGACACGUGAUAUCCUGUCUGAAUAUGGGGGGACCAUCCUCCAAGGCUAAAUACUACUGACUGACCGAUAGUGAACCAGUACCGUGAGGGAAAGGCGA